UACGUAGGAGGCAAGCGUUGUCCGGAAUUACUGGGCGUAAAGCGCGUGUAGGUGGUGGGACAAGUCUGCUGUGAAAGCGCCUGGCUUAACCGGGCGAGGUCGGCGGAAACUGUCCGACUCGAGGACGGUAGAGGGGGGUGGAAUUCCCGGUGUAGUGGUGAAAUGCGUAGAUAUCUGGAGGAACACCGGUGGCGAAGGCGGCGUUCUGGACUGCAACUGACACUGAGAAACGAAAGCCAGGGGAGCAAACGGG
rnacentral:rRNA from 1 species